rnacentral:rRNA from 1 species
GACGAACGCUGGCGGCGUGCUUAACACAUGCAAGUCGAACGGAAAGGCCCUGCUUUUGUGGGGUGCUCGAGUGGCGAACGGGUGAGUAACACGUGAGUAACCUGCCCUUGACUUUGGGAUAACUUCAGGAAACUGGGGCUAAUACCGGAUAGGAGCUCCUGCUGCAUGGUGGGGGUUGGAAAGUUUCGGCGGUUGGGGAUGGACUCGCGGCUUAUCAGCUUGUUGGUGGGGUAGUGGCUUACCAAGGCUGUGACGGGUAGCCGGCCUGAGAGGGUGACCGGCCACAUUGGGACUGAGAUACGGCCCAGACUCCUACGGGAGGCAGCAGUGGGGAAUAUUGCACAAUGGGCGGAAGCCUGAUGAAGCAACGCCGCGUGCUGGAUGACGGCCUUCGGGUUGUAAACCGCUUUCGCCUGUGACGCAGCGUGAGUGACGGUAAUGGGUAAAGAAGCACCGGCUAACUACGUG